GACGAACGCUGGCGGCGUGCCUAAUACAUGCAAGUCGAGCGCAGGAAACUGACGGAACUCUUCGGAGGGAAGGCAGUGGAAUGAGCGGCGGACGGGUGAGUAACACGUAAGGAACCUGCCUCAAGGAUUGGGAUAACUCCGAGAAAUCAGAGCUAAUGCCGGAUAGUUCAACGGACCGCAUGGUCCGCUGAUGAAAGGCGCUUCGGCGUCACCUUGAGAUGGCCUUGCGGUGCAUUAGCUAGUUGGUGGGGUAACGGCCCACCAAGGCGACGAUGCAUAGCCGACCUGAGAGGGUGAUCGGCCACACUGGGACUGAGACACGGCCCAGACUCCUACGGGAGGCAGCAGUAGGGAAUCUUCCACAAUGGACGAAAGUCUGAUGGAGCAACGCCGCGUGAGUGAUGAAGGUUUUCGGAUCGUAAAACUCUGUUGUAAGGGAAGAACACGUACGAGAGGAAAUGCUCGUACCUUGACGGUACCUUACGAGAAAGCCACGGCUAACUACGUGCCAGCCGCCGCCGUAA
rnacentral:rRNA from 1 species